UACGUAGGCAGCAAGCGUUGUUCGGAGUUACUGGGCGUAAAGAGUGCGUAGGUGGUGCCCUAAGUCUGUUGUGAAAUCUCCCGGCUUAACUGGGAGGGUGCGGUGGAAACUGGGGUGCUUGAGUGUGGGAGAGGUAAGCGGAAUUCCUGGUGUAGCGGUGAAAUGCGUAGAUAUCAGGAGGAACACCGGUGGUGAAGACGGCUUACUGGACCACGACUGACACUGAGGCACGAAAGCGUGGGUAGCAAACAGG
rnacentral:rRNA from 1 species